rnacentral:rRNA from 1 species
UACGAAGGGUGCAAGCGUUACUCGGAAUUACUGGGCGUAAAGCGUGCGUAGGUGGUUCGUUAAGUCUGAUGUGAAAGCCCCGGGCUCAACCUGGGAACUGCAUUGGAUACUGGCGACCUGGAGUGCGGUAGAGGGUGGCGGAAUUCCCGGUGUAGCAGUGAAAUGCGUAGAUAUCGGGAGGAACAUCCGUGGCGAAGGCGGCCACCUGGACCAGCACUGACACUGAGGCACGAAAGCGUGGGGAGCAAACAGG